UACGUAGGUGACAAGCGUUGUCCGGAUUUACUGGGCGUAAAGAGCGCGCAGGCGGUCGUUCAAGUCGAGUGUGAAAGCCCCCGGCUCAACUGGGGAGGGUCAUUCGAUACUGAUCGACUCGAAGGCAGGAGAGGGGAGUGGAAUUCCCGGUGUAGUGGUGAAAUGCGUAGAUAUCGGGAGGAACACCAGUGGCGAAGGCGACUUCCUGGCCUGUUCUUGACGCUGAGGCGCGAAAGCUAGGGGAGCAAACGGG
rnacentral:rRNA from 1 species